rnacentral:rRNA from 1 species
CCUGGUGGCCAUAGCGUCGGUGUCCCACCCGAUCCCAUCCCGAACUCGGACGUGAAACCCGACCGCGCCAAUGGUACUACUGCCUAAGCAGUGGAAGAGUAGGUCGCCGCCAGGCAUUGCAGCCCGCGCGUUGCACACCCAUC